rnacentral:tRNA from 1 species
AAGAAAGUGACAGAACGGCAUGUGAUCGGCUUGAAACCGGGGUAUGGGGGUUCAAUUCCCUCCUUUCUUG